AGGUUUGAUGGAUAUGGAAUGAUUCAUGGUAUGCGCAUCAAAAAUGGAAAAGCAACCUAUGUCUCCCGCUUUGUGAAGACCUCGCGACUUAAACAAGAAGAAUAUUUUGGUGGAUCAAAAUUUAUGAAGAUUGGUGACAUGAAAGGAUUCUUUGGACUGUUCACAGUUUACAUGCAAAUGCUAAGAACAAAAGUAGAAGUACUAUGGAUUU